rnacentral:rRNA from 1 species
ACAGCAGUAGCCGCGGUAAUACGGAGGGUGCAAGCGUUAAUCGGAAUUACUGGGCGUAAAGCGCACGCAGGCGGUCUGACAAGUCAGAUGUAAAAUCCCCGGGCUUAACCUGGGAACUGCAUUUGAAACUGUCAGGCUGGAGUCUUGUAGAGGGGGGUAGAAUUCCAGGUGUAGCGGUGAAAUGCGUAGAGAUCUGGAGGAAUACCGGUGGCGAAGGCGGCCCCCUGGACAAAGACUGACGCUCAGGUGCGAAAGCGUGGGGAGCAAACAGGAUUAGAGACCCCUGUAGUCCCUGUCUCUUAUAC